UACGUAGGGGUCGAGCGUUGUCCGGAGUUACUGGGGCGUAAAGCGCAUGCAGGCGGCUCAUUACGCAUGGCGUGAAAGCCCCCGGCUCAACCGGGGAGGGUCGUCGUGAACGGGUGAGCUUGAGGUAUCAGGGGCUGGUGGAAUUCCCGGUGUAGUGGUGAAAUGCGUAGAGAUCGGGAGGAACACCUGUGGCGAAGGCGGCCAGCUGGGAUACACCUGACGCUGAGAUGCGAAGGCGUGGGGAGCGAACGGGAUUAGAUACCCCGGGUAGUCCCUGA
rnacentral:rRNA from 1 species